rnacentral:pre_miRNA from 1 species
AAAGUACUCCCUCCGUCCCAAAAUUCUUGUCUUAGAUUUGUCUAGAUACGGAUGUAUCAAGUCACAUUUUAGUAUUAGAUACAUCUGUAUCUAGACAAAUCUAAGACAAGAAAUUUGGGACAGAGGGUGUAGUUG